AUCUGCAGCCAAAUCACAUUGUGCUGUUAUACUUUAAGUUUACAUGCUAAGCAGGGAUGAUCUGCAUCAGUACUUGGAUGGGAGACCUUAAGGAAGAAGUGUUGUGGCCC
ensembl:rRNA 5S_rRNA 5S ribosomal RNA